AUAAACUCUUUUCCACCGAUUCUAUACAAGUUCAAGUAGAAAAAAUAAGUGAAAACCCAAGUAAAUGUUAGUUGUAGUCUUUAACUUGUGUCCACUACUCUAUUCUUGAUAUCCAUAUUUCUCUCACUAAUACAUCCAAAACCCAUAGAUAACCCAUCUAAGAUAAACAGCAAUGUAGCAUGGAACAAGACAAUUAGGGCUUGUAAAUACUAAGGCCGUACCUCAAUAAAAUCUCCCUUUGCAAAGCACUGGGAAGUAUAAAAAGGAGAGACAUGAAAGCAAAUUUCAAUUGCACUGACCUGAUUUCCACUUUCUGGACCUCACCCUCUUGACAUUGCCAUGGGAAAUGUUUCGUUUCAAGGAACUUUGCCAACCAUUUGCUUCGCAUGUGAGUUUCUGGCAGUAACUGAAGACAAUUCAAUCAAAGUCAAAGGAGAAAAUGGUCAGCAUAAUGGAAGGGAAAAGGAGAGUUUCUUUUCUCACAGAUUUCCAGAAUGGAUGCCGGUAAGCAGUAUUACUUUGACUUAAAAGAAUGUCUCAGCUCAACUUCAUAACAAAUUCAUAUUCUGUACUAGUGUAAAAUCAAAUCACAUAUAUGUUGAUGUUGACACUGAAAAGUUUGAUUGGAAGAAUGGACAUCCAAACUCUUCUUGAAAUUUCAACACCAAAGUUAUAUAGAACUACUUCAAGUCAUGAAUGCUUUGUCUAAGCAGGUUCCUACUUCCUAGGAAAGCUAGACUAAAACUGGAUAGAUUUGCUAUUAUAAUAAGCUUACAUUUUAGACAUUUCACUCUCUGAUCUUUAUGUCAUAAUCAAUGUUUGGAAAGUUUCAAUCAGACACCAAGGCGUUUUAUGUCAACCAGCAAGGUGUAAGCCUCAAGGUGUUUUGAGGGGCAAGUCUGAAAAUAAACAAAUAAAAUAAUACAAAAGAAUAUAGAAGUCCAGAAUGCGCUAAUUACUUAUAGGCUAUAUGAAUUCCGUAAACAAUUUGCAAAAGAAAUAUAAAA
rnacentral:lncRNA from 1 species